rnacentral:hammerhead_ribozyme from 1 species
AUCCGGCUGACGAGUACCAAAUAGGACGAAACGCUCGUCCUGGAU